CGGGCAGGAGGCGGGGCCUGGGAAAGUCACGUGACCCUUCUGGCCACGCGGUGAGUUAGGGCCAAUAAGAUUUGAACCCAGAGUCCCCUGAUUCCAGAGCUUUCUGUAUAACUUCACAAGGGCUGAGUACUGAGAUUAGAGAUGUGUAUCGUCAGUCUUUUCACAGCAGUGCUUUUAUUCCCAUUUUUCAGAUGGGGAAACUGAGACUUGGGCUAAUGUCAUGCCUGUGAUUGCGCCGCAAGGAAGUGGGACUGGAGCUCCGGCCUGAUGCGUGGGUUCACACUGCUAACCGCCGCGCCGUGCCCUGCUCCUCUUCACCCCGGCAAAUCUGCCCUGAGACCCGGACAGACGCCUCGCCGUGGUCUCUCCCGCACCUUCUCCGAGGUUUUCUCUCGAGGCUCCUCCGUGCCCCGCUCCUCCCCCUGCCACUCCUGAACGGGGCCGGAAAGCGCCCGUCCUGGGGUGUGGGUGAGAGGGGUCGUGGCAGGCAGCGCUGUCCCUCUCGUCCUCCGUCAGGCCAGGGGACGGGAACGGACUCCGCCUGUCCGAGGCCCCGCUCCUCUGUGGACCUGGGACCCACACCAGUCCCAACGGUGUGGACAACUGCACGUGCGAAAUGCCAGUGUGGUGACCAGGCCUGGAGAAUCCCCCGGGACAAAGCCGAGUCCCCGCUCCAGAGUCAGAGGUGCCCGCUCCCGGGACGCUCCCUGGCCCAGCACCUCCUCCGCCUCCACCCGCCUCCCACCCAGCGCCCGGAUCAGCCUCGCACCCGCGAUUCCACCUUCCCGCCUCCUUACUCACCUCCUUACACACCCACUCGCCUCAUCUACGCCCUCCCUCACUUUCCGGAUUUCACCUGCAGGCUCGGGACUCCCAGCCCCAGCGAGACAGGCACAGUCACGGCUCCAGCCAGAUGCGGGGCACACACUGUAAUCCCAGCAUUCGGGAGGCUGUGGCAGGAGGGUCGCUGUGAGUUCAAAGCCAGCCUGUCUCAAAAAGAAGUCACCGCUCAAGUUCUAAGUGGCAGAGAGCAAGGACAGUACAAAUCAAGUAAAACAAGCUCGUGACAGAAAAUGCACACGAGACAGAUGACGACAGGUGGGUGUCAGAAAUGCGCAGCCCGGGACACCGGCCAGAGCGGGUGCCACCGGGAUGGGGGAGAAGUGACAGGAGUGGAGCUCGGAGAGCCUGGGGGACGCCCAGCACGGGGGAGGUGACAGCCUGAGAAGAGACCAGGUUGUGUCUCCCAGGCCACCCCUCCCUCUUCGGGGCAGACAAAGGCCAGCUUUCCCCAACCUAGAGGAUCCCAAACGCCGCCACAGGCCUGGGAUGGGAUAGAAACAGGAAGGAGC
rnacentral:lncRNA from 1 species